UAACAUACCUGGCUGGGGAUUACCAUGAUCAAGAAGGUAGUUUUACUUGGUGAGGCUCAUCCAUUGCACUCUGGAUAUGCUGACCUUUGAGAGUUUCCCAAAUGUGGGAAACUUUACUACAUAAUUUGUGGUAACAGGGACUGCAUUUGUGCUCUCCCCU
ensembl:snRNA U1 U1 spliceosomal RNA